UUAUCUGAGCAUCCACUAUAUGCCCUGGAUUCUACAGGUCACUUUCACAUUCUUCAUCUCCUUUAGUUGUCGCAGCAACCCGCAAGGGAGUAAGAUGAGGAGACAAGUGAGGACAGGUGAAGUCACUAGCUGUGAAGUCACACAGCAGGUGGUAUUAUGGCCUUAGAAGAUCACUAUUUUACAACCAUCAUAUAAUGAAUAGAUUCAGGUUACUUGAUUAACUAUGAAGAGGAAAAGGUAACUUUAAAACGGAAUUCUGAUGGAUACCACCUGAAACAAAUGAUCAAACUUACCAUCAUCAAUAACAAACUGACAUGGGCCUCCUGAUGUGAUAUAAUAGGAAGUACACAACAUCACACAUAUUGUAUUUUUGCCAAAAAUGAUUAACCUAAAUCCAGAUUGUGGGACAUUCUAAAAGACAACUUGCUUGGACUCUUCAAAAACAGCGGAGUCAUGAAAGACCAUCUAUAUAUAUAUGUGUGUGUGCAGGCGUAUAUGCACAUCUGUGUGUACUGUUCUAGAUUAAAGAUAAAGAUUACAGGAUAUUAAAAAGGAUUGACAACCAAAUGCACUGUGGGAUCCUUAAUUGGAUCCUAAAAAAAUUGGAUCAAAUAAAAAAAAUUAUAAAGGAAACUGGCAAUAAUUGAUGAAAUUUUAGUAUGUUAUUAUUGUAUAUUAUAUAUAUUAAUGUUAAAUUCCUUGGAUGUGCUAAUGGUAUUGCAGAUAUUUAGGAGAAUGUUGUUGUUAAAGAGGUACGUGCUGAAGUAUUCAGGCAUAAAGUGUCGUUAUGUCUGGAACUUUCAAAUGGUUCCGCAAAAAAGAAAAAAGUACAUAGAUGGACACUUAGAUAAAUAAAAUGUGGCCAAAUGUUAGCAAUUGGUGAAUCUAGGUAAUGGAUAAACUAUUAAUUCAUUUUAUGCCAUAAAUUCCUUUUCUGGGGAUUAUUUUUCAAAAUAAAAAGUUGGGGGAAAAAAAAAGAAAAAAAAAGUGUACCCAGUACAGUUGGAAAAACGCAAGGGCAGCAAGGGAGAAAGGAUAUGCAGUGCAAAAUUACAGAAACUUUCAUCUUACUUGGUUAAUCACCCACUGUGUUCUUGAAACCCUCACUUUUGUGGUCACAAAAAUGGAAAUAUUCCAUACUUUUUGUUUUUCUCCUCUCUUUUCAUAAGUUCUGACUCAUCUGAAUAGCUUCUCCUGAAUUUACUUAGUGAAUUUCUUUGUAGUUAACCUUGAUGCCUUUCCCACCUCCUCUAUAAUAAAUUCCCCUUCUCAAUUCCCCCUGUUGAUCAAUGCUGUCCUUUCAACAAGUGGAAUUCACCUUAAUAGCUUAAAGGUGAAAACUAUAUGAUUGUUUCCCUCAGUGCAAGGAAAGCAUGCAAUAAAAUUCAGUGCCUCUUAAAAAGUGAGAAAAGAACUUCCUUAAUAUGAAAAAGAGCAUCUGUAGCAAAACCUCCAUCAACCCUCAUACAUUAAAGUAUGAAUAUGCUAAAGAACCUUAGAAGCAUUUCCUUUAACACUGAUAAUGAAGUGGGCCAAUAAGAUGCAGGGUACUUCUAUCACCACCAAUGUUUGAUAUAGUAUUGGAGGUCCUGACCAAUGCAGUAAGACAGAAGACGAAAGAGUAACUAUAAGGAUUGGAAGAGAUUUAUUUGCAGAUUAUAUGAUCAUUUGCAUAAAAAUAAUCAUAAUAAGAAUAGCUAACAGGUACUGAGCACUUAAGAUAUGCAGGAGCUGUUCAGCAAGCAUUACAUGUAUAAAUGCCACUUAAUCCUACUUUAAAACAACCCUAGAAGAUAGGUAUAACAGUUAUUCCCAUCUUACAGAUAGUGACACUAAGGCACAGAGAAGGCAAGAAAUUUGCUCAAGAUCAACCGAAGCAGUGUAAUUCUAGGGCGUUAAGUUUUAACCACUCUUCUAUAUUAUAACUUUACUGUCAUCAAUACAACUUGCGACAGACAAAGAGGUAUGAGAGGUAUUCAAGAGCCGAUGCAAGAAAAUGAAUAUGUCUUUAGAGCUAGAGGAGAAGGCGUAACAGUGGUUCUCAACGUUGGCUGCAUAUUAGAAUCACUUGGAGAGCUUUGAAAAAUCCUGAUGCCCAGGCUGCUCCCAGACCAAUUACAUCAGAAUCUUGGAAGAAGGGUGGAAAGGCCUCAGUAUUUUUUAAAGAACAAUUGCAUUAAAACAUCUUAAGAGAACUCAAGAAUCCACUCAAAUUGUGGUAUAAGUUUCCUUUCUUGCAAGCUGGGUGAGGUUGCACACUCUGGGCAGAUGAAUCACAGAAGGGUGUAAUUUGAACCCAGGAGAAGCAUAGGGACUAGAAGUCCCCCAUUGUGGUGGAGACUAUAAAGAGGGCUCAGUGUAUCCAUAUGUGGCUUAGGUAGAGUCAUCCUGAAGCCUGCAAAGCUCAGGUGUCAAAUCUCUGACUGAUAAUGACCUUACUGUGCUAAUAAAUUGUCAAUCCAAUAACCUCGACUUGUUUAAGGUGUCAACCUCAGCCUUCCUAGGAAGAUAACUAUAUCACAGUGAGGAAUUGUUGAGCUGGUUACCUCAAUGUGGCCCCCCAGAUGGUAACUCUAUCAUGAUUGUGAACUGUUGACCCAGUAAUCUGAACUCCCUGGAGAUGCUAGAACUUCUUUCUCCAUGAGUAAGUGGCUUUUCAAGUCUGAAAAGGCUUAGAAUUAAAUACAGAAAUGGGGACUCCCUGGUGGUCCAGUGGCUGAGACUCUGCACUCCCAAUGCAGGGGUGCCUGGGUUUGAUCCCUGGUCAGGGAACUAGAUCCCACAUACCGCAACUAACAGUUCACAUGCCGCAAUUAAAGAUCUUGCAAAGAAGAUCUCACACGCGGCAAAGAAGAUCUCACACGCGGCAAAGAAGAUCCUGUGUGCGGAAAGUAAGACCCAGUGCAGUUAAAUAAAUAAAUAAAUAUAAUAAUGAUAAAUAAAUCAAAUCUAUUGUAUACUUUUGUGUUUAAAAUAACUGUGGGUAUGUGUUUGAUACUUAAAAUGUAAUUUUGAAAUAAUAUGGCAUAUUGUAGAAUCUGAGAGAUUACCCUAAUUUGAUAGAUUAGAACUAUGAAAUGUAAGGAAAUUUCAGUGUUUGUAAAUAAUAAUAUUAUUUUUUUAAGUUUUUUUUUUUUGGCUGUCCAGCUUGUGAGAUCUUAGUUCCCUGACCAGGGAUUGAACCCGGGCCCUUGGCAAUAAGAGCACAGCGUCCUAACCACUGGACCACCAGGGAAUUCCCAUGUCAAUAAUAUUAGAAUAGUAGAUCUACUAGAUCUAUAUGUUAUUUAUAUAUAUGUAACAAGUUUUUGUUAAGUACUUGGGAAGAAUUUGCUCAUUAGAGAUGAAACGAUUGAGUAGGCAUAUGAUGGGUGUAAAAUGAAAAGAGAAUAUAUGAAAUUUAUAUUCUGUUUACAAUGCUUAAUGAAAUUACAUUUUAUACAUUUAAAAAUGGGAUUAAUUGUUUAACAGAGUUUAGAUUGUUCUGCCUGAGUUACCUGAACUUAAGGCUAAUCAUUAUUUUUAUAUAAAUAUAAUGAAUUUAAAAAUAGAAUAAUAUAUUUGUAAUUUGAACUUUUAAGUCAAAUAAAACCAAGGUUUGAG